CCAGAGUAGAGAUGUGGCCCAGUUCAGGAAUGUCGUCACACAACUGGAAGCUGAUUUAGACAUUACCAAAAGACAGCUAGGGACCGAGCGCUUUGAAAGGGAGAGGGCUGUGCAAGAACUUCGCCGCCAGAACUACUCAAGUAAUGCUUAUUAUUUGAAUUCUACAAUAAAGCCAAUUACAAAAUGUCAUUCACCGGAACGUGCUCACCACCGAUCUCCUGACCGAGGCCUGGAUCGAUCUCUAGAAGAGAAUCUUUGCUAUAGAGAUUUCUGAUAUGCGAAAAGAUUCUUCACAUCCUUGGGAAAGGUCAAAAUGUCAAUCUGAUUUUUUUUGCUAUUGAUUGCAUUUAUUUUUGAAUCCUUGACAAUGUUAAAUGUAUAUAUUAACUUUGUGCCUCUGAAUUUCUGUUCUCAUGUGCCAUAUUACAGUGAUCAGAGAUGACUUACUAAAACAAAAAUGCAUGUGGCUCUUUCUACCCAUACAGUAAUAGUGAGUGUAAAGUCCACUUACUUCACUAUUGAAUACUGUUAUGUUAACUAUCCGGAGUAAAUAAAGAAGCUUGUAAAAAAGAAGGAAAAGUGUUCUUUACAAAACUAUGUGUUUUUUACAAAACUGAUUUCCUUACCUUUCUUGGUCUCUCAAAUAAUUGGUAGGUUAUUUUUCUUUGUUACUUAUCCUUUCUUGAUGGGGAAGUUCUGCCAAAAUAGGCACAGUUUACUGAUCCUGGCCUGGGUCCCAAUAUGCCACUUUGGACCCAGCCUGAUGUAAAUUCCAGGCCAUAAUCUGACUUCAAAGCAGCAGAUAGUAGGAGUGUGUCAGGAUUUUUAAAACCAUAAUAUUGUACCACUGAUUAACAUACAUUUCUGCAA